rnacentral:piRNA from 1 species
UGGGUCAUGUCUGUGUUGUAUUCAGAGCUU